rnacentral:lncRNA from 1 species
GAUCGGGAUACAGCAAGCAUAGAACAUGAAUAUCUCUAGCCCAUUGAAAAAUUCCUUCAUGACUCUCGUUUCAGAAUAUUUGUGUGUACACAUCUAACUUCGUAACUCGUAUAUAUUGCCAUCACUAGACAUUUUUUCCUUCACAUCUCUAUGUUCUUUUUUUUUGUGUCUUCCAUGCUCAAAAGAAUAUCAUAGGUAAAAAAUUUAGGCUCAAGAGAAUGUCAUAUAUAUAUGUAUAUGAAAUUUUCUUCAAUGGUAGGUAUGAAUUUAACAACAGAUUUAUAACGAAACAAUUACAAGUCUUUUACUUCAGUAUAACAACGACUUUAUGAAGAAAUAAGUUAGGUAUAGCCUACCAACUAUUUCAAUUUUACUCGU